rnacentral:rRNA from 1 species
UGGGGAAUAUUGCACAAUGGGCGCAAGCCUGAUGCAGCCAUGCCGCGUGUAUGAAGAAGGCCUUCGGGUUGUAAAGUACUUUCAGCGGGGAGGAAGGUGUUGAGGCUAAUAACCUCAGCAAUUGACGUUACCCGCAGAAGAAGCACCGGCUAACUCCGUGCCAGCAGCCGCGGUAAUACGGAGGGUGCAAGCGUUAAUCGGAAUUACUGGGCGUAAAGCGCAUGCAGGCGGUCUGUCAAGUCGGAUGUGAAAUCCCCGGGCUCAACCUGGGAACUGCAUUCGAAACUGGCAGGCUAGAGUCUUGUAGAGGGGGGUAGAAUUCCAGGUGUAGCGGUGAAAUGCGUAGAGAUCUGGAGGAAUACCGGUGGCGAAGGCGGCCCCCUGGACAAAGACUGACGCUCAGGUGCGAAAGCGUGGGGAGCAAACA